rnacentral:rRNA from 1 species
UGCAAGUCGAACGAUGACGACAGGGCUUGCUCUGUCUGAUUAGUGGCGAACGGGUGAGUAACCCGUGAGUAACCUGCCCCCCUCUUCGGGAUAACCUCGGGAAAUCGGGGCUAAUACCGGAUAUGACUUCGCACCGCAUGGUGUGUUGUGGAAAGUUUUUCGGUGGGGGAUGGACUCGCGGCCUAUCAGUUUGUUGGUGAGGUAAUGGCUCACCAAGGCGAUGACGGGUAGCCGGCCUGAGAGGGCGACCGGCCACACUGGGACUGAGACACGGCCCAGACUCCUACGGGAGGCAGCAGUGGGGAAUAUUGCACAAUGGGCGAAAGCCUGAUGCAGCGACGCCGCGUGGGGGAUGACGGCCUUCGGGUUGUAAACCUCUUUCAGUAGGGAAGAAGCGAAAGUGACGGUACCUGCAGAAGAAGCGCCGGCUAACUACGUGCCAGCAGCCGCGGUAAUACGUAGGGCGCAAGCGUUGUCCGGAAUUAUUGGGCGUAAAGAGCUUGUAGGUGGCUUGUCGCGUCUGCCGUGAAAACCCGAGGCUCAACCUCGGGCGUGCGGUGGGUACGGGCAGGCUAGAGUGUGGUAGGGGAGACUGGAACUCCUGGUGUAGCGGUGAUAUGCGCAGAUAUCAGGAAGAACACCGAUGGCGAAGGCAGGUCUCUGGGCCAUUACUGACACUGAGAAGCGAAAGCAUGGGGAGCGAACAGGAUUAGAUACCCUGGUAGUCCAUGCCGUAAACGUUGGGCACUAGGUGUGGGGAACAUUCCACGUUUUCCGCGCCGUAGCUAACGCAUUAAGUGCCCCGCCUGGGGAGUACGGCCGCAAGGCUAAACUCAAAGGAAUUGACGGGGGCCCGCACAAGCGGCGGAGCAUG